rnacentral:rRNA from 1 species
AUUGAACGCCGGCGGCAGGCCUAACACAUGCAAGUCGAGCGGAUGAAGGGAGCUUGCUCCUGGAUUCAGCGGCGGACGGGUGAGUAAUGCCUAGGAAUCUGCCUGGUAGUGGGGGAUAACGUCCGGAAACGGGCGCUAAUACCGCAUACGUCCUGAGGGAGAAAGUGGGGGAUCUUCGGACCUCACGCUAUCAGAUGAGCCUAGGUCGGAUUAGCUAGUUGGUGGGGUAAAGGCCUACCAAGGCGACGAUCCGUAACUGGUCUGAGAGGAUGGUCAGUCACACUGGAACUGAGACACGGUCCAGACUCCUACGGGAGGCAGCAGUGGGGAAUAUUGGACAAAGGGCGAAAGCCUGAUCCAGCCAUGCCGCGUGUGUGAAGAAGGUCUUCGGAUUGUAAAGCACUUUAAGUUGGGAGGAAGGGCAGUAAGUUAAUACCUUGCUGUUUUGACGUUACCAACAGAAUAAGCACCGGCUAACUUCGUG